GAUGAACGCUAGCUACAGGCUUAACACAUGCAAGUCGAGGGGCAUCAUGUCGGUUGCUUGCAACCGAUGAUGGCGACCGGCGCACGGGUGAGUAACGCGUAUCCAACCUUCCCCUUACUAGGGAAUAACCCGUCGAAAGUCGGACUAAUGCCCUAUGUUCUCCCUUGCAGGCAUCUAAUUGGGAGCAAAGAUAUUUUUCGGUAUGGGAUGGGGAUGCGUCUGAUUAGGUUGUUGGCGGGGUAACGGCCCACCAAGCCAUCGAUCAGUAGGGGUUCUGAGAGGAAGGCCCCCCACAUUGGGACUGAGACACGGCCCAAACUCCUACGGGAGGCAGCAGUGAGGAAUAUUGGUCAAUGGGCGGAAGCCUGAACCAGCCAAGUAGCGUGCAGGAUGACUGCCCUAUGGGUUGUAAACUGCUUUUAUGCGGGGAUAAUUGAGCCUACGUGUAGGUUUUUGCAGGUACCGCAUGAAUAAGGACCGGCUAAUUCCGUGCCAGCAGCCGCGGUAAUACGGAAGGUCCGGGCGUUAUCCGGAUUUAUUGGGUUUAAAGGGAGCGCAGGCGGCCUUUUAAGCGUGUUGUGAAAACCAGUCGCUCAACGACUGGCUUGCAGCGCGAACUGAAUGGCUUGAGUACGGACGAGGCAGGCGGAAUUCGUGGUGUAGCGGUGAAAUGCUUAGAUAUCACGAAGAACCCCGAUUGCGUAGGCAGCCUGCCAGGCCGUUACUGACGCUAAAGCUCGAAAGUGCGGGUAUCGAACAGGAUUAGAUACCCUGGUAGUCCGCACGGUAAACGAUGGAUGCCCGCUGCCGGCGAUACAUUGUCGGUGGCCAAGCGAAAGCGUUAAGCAUCCCACCUGGGGAGUACGCCGGCAACGGUGAAACUCAAAGGAAUUGACGGGGGCCCGCACAAGCGGAGGAACAUGUGGUUUAAUUCGAUGAUACGCGAGGAACCUUACCCGGGCUUGAAUUGCAGGCGAACGAUCCAGAGAUGGUGAGGCCCUUCGGGGCGCCUGUGAAGGUGCUGCAUGGUUGUCGUCAGCUCGUGCCGUGAGGUGUCGGCUUAAGUGCCAUAACGAGCGCAACCCCUCUCCGUAGUUGCCAUCGGGUAAUGCCGGGCACUCUGCGGACACUGCCUCCGUAAGGUGUGAGGAAGGUGGGGAUGACGUCAAAUCAGCACGGCCCUUACGUCCGGGGCUACACACGUGUUACAAUGGGGUAUACAGAGGGUCAGCCGCCGGCAACGUCGGUUCAAUCCUUAAAGUGCCUCUCAGUUCGGACUGGGGUCUGCAACCCGACCCCACGAAGCUGGAUUCGCUAGUAAUCGCGCAUCAGCCACGGCGCGGUGAAUACGUUCCCGGGCCUUGUACACACCGCCCGUCAAGCCAUGAAAGCCGGGGGCGCCUGAAGUCCGUGACCGCGAGGGUCGGCCUAGGGUGAAACCGGUGAUUGGGGCU
rnacentral:rRNA from 1 species